GACGAACGCUGGCGGCGUGCUUAACGCAUGCAAGUCGAACGGAAAGGCCCUGCUUUUGUGGGGUGCUCGAGUGGCGAACGGGUGAGUAACACGUGAGUAACCUGCCCUUGACUUUGGGAUAACUUCAGGAAACUGGGGCUAAUACCGGAUAGGAGCUCCUGCUGCAUGGUGGGGGUUGGAAAGUUUCGGCGGUUGGGGAUGGACUCGCGGCUUAUCAGCUUGUUGGUGGGGUAGUGGCUUACCAAGGCUUUGACGGGUAGCCGGCCUGAGAGGGUGACCGGCCACAUUGGGACUGAGGUACGGCCCAGACUCCUACGGGAGGCAGCAGUGGGGAAUAUUGCACAAUGGGCGGAAGCCGGAUGCAGCAACGCCGCGUGCGGGAUGACGGCCUUCGGGUUGUAAACCGCUUUCGCCUGUGACGAAGCGUGAGUGACGGUAAUGGGUAAAGAAGCACCGGCUAACUACGUG
rnacentral:rRNA from 1 species